CUCAAUGAGGACGAAGGGGUGAUCUCCGAGUGCUCUUUGAUGAAGCGAACUCUGGAGCCAAACGCGAUGACAUGCCAGUGUCCUGGCCCCAUGAGCAGAUGGCCGGCAAGGGCUGUCAGGAGCCCUCACUGCCCAGCCGAUUGGGAUUUCAGGUUUGGGUUCCAGGGCUCAUCUGGCUCAACACGUGGUUUUAGCCACAAGGAAAUCACUGGAGAGGAAGAUCGUUCCCAAGGGUCCCUGCUGUGUCCUUCUAAGUGCGAAGCCCAGGGCGUUUGGCUCAGAUCAUCAGUGGGGAUUGUGGAGGCCUUUUCAUCUUCAGCAAGGAAAAAAUCCCCCAAGGACUCCCAGCACCACAGCAGCAAGGGCUGCCUCCCCUCGUUAGGGAGCUGGAGCCCAGCUCUUCUGCUCCUUAAUGACCAACCUCUCUGCUGCCUGGCAUGAGGCCACGUCAUUGCCUGUUACAUGCAAAAAAUGGCGUCUUUACUUGGUGAAUUCGGAGUCCCAGAAACAGCCCCAGAAAGGGGAGGCGUGUGCAGGAGAAGACUUCCAAGGCUACAGAAACACAAUUACCGCUGUGGUGAUGGACAGCAGUGACCGUGGAAACCCGCAGGUUUCCUGUUCUG
rnacentral:lncRNA from 13 species